AUUUUGGUUUGGGGCACCAUUUCUUUGCCGCGGUUUGUCCUGUCUAAUGUUUGUGCUGUCUAAUGUGCUGUCAUUUGUGUUAUGUGUUUCUUAAGCAUCUCUUUCUGUCCCUGCUCUCCCUAUGCACGUGGCAUGCAUGGGUCAGGGGGUCAGGGGUCUUUUCUUGAUUCUCUGAGCACGUGGCGCCACCUCAACUGUGAUCGGCAGAUGCGCCCUGUGGACAGACUGCCACUCUGAGGACACCCAGGACCCAGGAGUUUAUAAUGUCAGACAGACUGCCAGAUCCUGACAGUGACCCAAAGUCUCCAAAGAAGAUUACGAGGCACCUCAGUUCCUGCACCUGGACCAGUGAGCGAGAUGCUCAGAUGUGAAACCUGCCGCCUGCCAGAACCUAGCCGAGACUGUGGACAAAGCUGCUGGACACUGGAAAAUUGAUUGUACCCCUUUGCCUAGACAAAACAAGACAUCUGAAUAUCAGUUGCUGACUACAGACUGUUCUAAGACUGCGAGCCCUGGACUUGCUGUGGAUGUGAACCAGUUCAGCUGAUAUGGACACCCCCUGUCUCUACAACAGUGUCUGCUAACCAGAAGCCCCUGAUGAAUUCCCCAUUGCCUAAAUUCCUUUUUGCUUUUGACUAGCAUUUCAACCUUCUGGGGUCCCUAACUUCGUCCCAAUGUCAGCAGGAAGCAGUUUAGAAAGAAAUUUCGCCGCCCAUUUUCCCUGGUUAAAAUGCUAAGUCAAAAGGAACUCCCUUACAUGGGGAUGCCAAUAUCUGUCACUCCCUGAUGGGGAUGCUAGAGAGACAGCAAUUCCAUGAUUGGAAUUUCCAGAAAAGAAAAUGGGGGAAUGAAGGAACCGGCUUCCCUUUUGGCAGCCAUAAUGGUUAAACAUGUGCCUUUAUGACCUUGUCCUAAAAACCAGAAAGUCAG
rnacentral:lncRNA from 1 species